GUCCCUAAACGUGUCAUUGGGGAGAAGCACUGUGUACGGAUUACAGGGCAGAAUUACACAGAGAACUGGAAAAAGCGUCAGAACUUGUAUGUUUAGCAUAUAUGUAUUCUGUUUGCUUGUUUUCUGUUUUUAAUAAAUGGAGCACAUCUGCUAGCACCCUCUCUGAAGUGUGCUGACACACUGAAGUCCUCGACCUCCACCCGACUGGCCCCGCCACAGGCAUAGGCAUCUUUUGGAUCAGCAGUUGUCACUGCUCUCGGAGGACGCAUAACAGCCUCAGGACUCUUUUGUCCAAUCCCGCAUGCAGUCUGCCUGUGCUAUCAGAGACAACCAACCAGCCUUAGUUUAAAGAGACUUCCAUGGAGUUAAAUAACCUGCCAGUUGCUCUGUUCUCUUCUCUCCUUUUCUUUACAGGGCCAGAGAAAAUACAAAGCAAGGAGAUAGAGCAAAUGCAGGAAUAACCCGGGCAGAAGUCAGUUCAGAACUUGAAAAUUCUUGCUUCUCCCCUUUCUUGUUCUCCUACCCCAACCUAAGUCCUCGCAGGACCGCGUACCGCCUCAGGGAUAAACUGUGAUCAUUCUUUAAUUCCAUUUCUUGGCUUAUGUUUGGUGCAGAGAGACAGAACAGAUUCAUAAAAAGUUACCAAGAAUUCAAAGCUGCCAGAGACCCUCGAGCUGAAGGACUCUCAGGUGUCAUUGAGAAUCACCUGCCCACACAUUCGGACAGCCAGCCUCUCCCAUCAGUGUCCUGAAAGCAGUGAGGAGGAAAAACGACAUUCCCUGGAGGUCGGUGCAAAGCCAUUCCCAGUCGCCUGCCCCAGGAUCUGGAGAGAAGAUGCCCUGUACAUCCCAGCAUUCUUUUACUGGGACGGGCCACAGGCUGAGUCAGUGCCCCUGGGCUGUGAUGUGUCUCUGAUCUCUAAAUGGGAAUGAACUUCCUUGGACAGCUAGACGUGGUGAAGGAAUCCUACCACGUGGGAUUCGGGAGCCCAAAGAAACUGCGGGCCAGUCUUUCCCUCCAUCUGUAGUUUCACGCCUGUAUCUCCUGUGCCUUACAGGUAACAUAUUUUCCUAUUGCAUAAGGGAAAAGGUGAAACUCCAAUGAAGAAUUUCAUUCUUUCUU
rnacentral:lncRNA from 1 species